rnacentral:rRNA from 1 species
GAUGAACGCUGGCGGCGUGCGUAACACAUGCAAGUUGGACGACGGUGCCAUGAAGUGGUAACACGGAAUGGUAUACGGAGUAGCGGACGGGUGAGUAAAGCAUGAGGAGCUGUCCUGUUGAGGGGGAUAACGUUCGGAAACGGACCCUAAUACCCCAUAGGCCGAGAGGUUAAAGGCAGAGAUGCGCGACAGGAGGUACUCGUGUCCUAUCAGCUGGUUGGUGAGGUAACGGCUCACCAAGGCGACGACGGGUAGCCGGCCUGAGAGGGUGACCGGCCACACUGGAACUGAGACACGGUCCAGACUCCUACGGGAGGCAGCAGUGGGGAAUAUUGGGCAAUGGGAGAAAUCCUGACCCAGCGACGCCGCGUGAACGAAGACGGCCUUCGGGUUGUAAAGUUCUUUUAUGUGGGAAGAAGGAAGUGACGGUACCACAUGAAUAAG